GCUACAGGCUUAACACAUGCAAGUCGAGGGGCAGCAUGGUCUUAGCUUGCUAAGGCCGAUGGCGACCGGCGCACGGGUGAGUAACACGUAUCCAACCUGCCGUCUACUCUUGGACAGCCUUCUGAAAGGAAGAUUAAUACAAGAUGGCAUCAUGAGUCCGCAUGUUCACAUGAUUAAAGGUAUUCCGGUAGACGAUGGGGAUGCGUUCCAUUAGAUAGUAGGCGGGGUAACGGCCCACCUAGUCUUCGAUGGAUAGGGGUUCUGAGAGGAAGGUCCCCCACAUUGGAACUGAGACACGGUCCAAACUCCUACGGGAGGCAGCAGUGAGGAAUAUUGGUCAAUGGGCGAGAGCCUGAACCAGCCAAGUAGCGUGAAGGAUGACUGCCCUAUGGGUUGUAAACUUCUUUUAUAAAGGAAUAAAGUCGGGUAUGCAUACCCGUUUGCAUGUACUUUAUGAAUAAGGAUCGGCUAACUCCGUGCCAGCAGCCGCGGUAAUACGGAGGAUCCGAGCGUUAUCCGGAUUUAUUGGGUUUAAAGGGAGCGUAGAUGGAUGUUUAAGUCAGUUGUGAAAGUUUGCGGCUCAACCGUAAAAUUGCAGUUGAUACUGGAUAUCUUGAGUGCAGUUGAGGCAGGCGGAAUUCGUGGUGUAGCGGUGAAAUGCUUAGAUAUCACGAAGAACUCCGAUUGCGAAGGCAGCCUGCUAAGCUGCAACUGACAUUGAGGCUCGAAAGUGUGGGUAUCAAACAGGAUUAGAUACCCUGGUAGUCCACACGGUAAACGAUGAAUACUCGCUGUUUGCGAUAUACAGCAAGCGGCCAAGCGAAAGCGUUAAGUAUUCCACCUGGGGAGUACGCCGGCAACGGUGAAACUCAAAGGAAUUGACGGGGGCCCGCACAAGCGGAGGAACAUGUGGUUUAAUUCGAUGAUACGCGAGGAACCUUACCCGGGCUUAAAUUGCAGAUGAAUUACGGUGAAAGCCGUAAGCCGCAAGGCAUCUGUGAAGGUGCUGCAUGGUUGUCGUCAGCUCGUGCCGUGAGGUGUCGGCUUAAGUGCCAUAACGAGCGCAACCCUUGUUGUCAGUUACUAACAGGUUCCGCUGAGGACUCUGACAAGACUGCCAUCGUAAGAUGUGAGGAAGGUGGGGAUGACGUCAAAUCAGCACGGCCCUUACGUCCGGGGCUACACACGUGUUACAAUGGGGGGUACAGAGGGCCGCUACCACGCGAGUGGAUGCCAAUCCCAAAAACCUCUCUCAGUUCGGACUGGAGUCUGCAACCCGACUCCACGAAGCUGGAUUCGCUAGUAAUCGCGCAUCAGCCACGGCGCGGUGAAUACGUUCCCGGGCCUUGUACACACCGCCCGUCAAGCCAUGGGAGCCGGGGGUACCUGAAGUGCGUAACCGCGAGGAGCGCCCUAGGGUAAAACUGGUGACUGGGGCUAAGUA
rnacentral:rRNA from 1 species